GACGAACGCUGGCGGCGUGCCUAAUACAUGCAAGUAGAACGCACAGUUUAUACCGUAGCUUGCUAUACCAUAGACUGUGAGUUGCGAACGGGUGAGUAACGCGUAGGUAACCUGCCUGGUAGCGGGGGAUAACUAUUGGAAACGAUAGCUAAUACCGCAUAAUAUUAAUUAUUGCAUGAUAAUUAAUUGAAAGGUGCAAUUGCACCACUACCAGAUGGACCUGCGUUGUAUUAGCUAGUAGGUGAGGUAACGGCUCACCUAGGCGACGAUACAUAGCCGACCUGAGAGGGUGAUCGGCCACACUGGGACUGAGACACGGCCCAGACUCCUACGGGAGGCAGCAGUAGGGAAUCUUCGGCAAUGGACGAAAGUCUGACCGAGCAACGCCGCGUGAGUGAAGAAGGUUUUCGGAUCGUAAAGCUCUGUUGUAAGAGAAGAACGGGUGUGAGAGUGGAAAGUUCACACUGUGACGGUAUCUUACCAGAAAGGGACGGCUAACUACGUG
rnacentral:rRNA from 1 species